rnacentral:rRNA from 1 species
GACGAACGCUGGCGGCGUGCUUAACACAUGCAAGUCGAACGGAAAGGCCCUGCUUUUGUGGGGUGCUCGAGUGGCGAACGGGUGAGUAACACGUGAGUAACCUGCCCUUGACUUUGGGAUAACUUCAGGAAACUGGGGCUAAUACCGGAUAGGAGCUCCUGCUGCAUGGUGGGGGUUGGAAAGUUUCGGCGGUUGGGGAUGGAUUCGCGGCUUAUCAGCUUGUUGGUGGGGUAGUGGCUUACCAAGGCUUUGACGGGUAGCCGGCCUGGGAGGGUGACCGGCCACAUUGGGACUGAGAUACGGCCCAGACUCCUACGGGAGGCAGCAGUGGGGAAUAUUGCACAAUGGGCGGAAGCCUGAUGCAGCAACGCCGCGUGCGGGAUGACGGCCUUCGGGUUGUAAACCGCUUUCGCCUGUGACGAAGCGUGAGUGACGGUAAUGGGUGAAGAAGCACCGGCUAACUACGUG